rnacentral:rRNA from 1 species
AAGUUUUCGGACAGAAGACAUUAAGACUUAGUGGCGGACGGGUGAGUAACGCGUGAGCAACCUGCCUACAAGAGGGGGACAACAGUUGGAAACGACUGCUAAUACCGCAUAAGCCCACGUAUUCGCAUGGAUAUGAGGGAAAAGAUUUAUCGCUUGUAGAUGGGCUCGCGUCCUAUUAGCUAGUUGGUGAGGUAACGGCUCACCAAGGCGACGAUAGGUAGCCGACCUGAGAGGGUGAUCGGCCACACUGGAACUGAGACACGGUCCAGACUCC